AUUGAACGCUGGCGGCAGGCUUAACACAUGCAAGUCGAGCGGAGAUGAGGUGCUUGCAACUUAUCUUAGCGGCGGACGGGUGAGUAAUGCUUAGGAAUCUGCCUAUUAGUGGGGGACAACGUUCCGAAAGGCAUGCUAAUACCGCAUACGCCCUACGGGGGAAAGCAGGGGAUCUUCGGACCUUGCGCUAAUAGAUGAGCCUAGGUCGGAUUAGCUAGUUGGUGGGGUAAAGGCCUACCAAGGCGACGAUCUGUAGCGGGUCUGAGAGGAUGAUCCGCCACACUGGGACUGAGACACGGCCCAGACUCCUACGGGAGGCAGCAGUGGGGAAUAUUGGACAAUGGGCGGAAGCCUGAUCCAGCCAUGCCGCGUGUGUGAAGAAGGCCUUUUGGUUGUAAAGCACUUUAAGCGAGGAGGAGGCUACCUGGAUUAAUACUCUAGGAUAGUGGACGUUACUCGCAGAAUAAGCACCGGCUAACUCUGUGCCAGCCGCCGCCGUAAUAC
rnacentral:rRNA from 1 species